CGGGGUGCACCAGGCGCGAAAACUUUACAAUGCGGGAAACCGUGAUAAGGGGACACCGAGUGCCAGCAUCAUAUGCUGGCUGUCCGGGUGUGUAAAAUACACCUGUCAGCAAGGGCCGGGCAAGACCGGUGCCAGCCGCCGCGGUAACACCGGCGGCCCGAGUGGUGAUCGUGAUUAUUGGGUCUAAAGGGUCCGUAGCCGGUUUGGUCAGUCCUCCGGGAAAUCUGACGGCUCAACCGUUAGGCUUUCGGGGGAUACUGCCAGGCUUGGAACCGGGAGAGGUAAGAGGUACUACAGGGGUAGGAGUGAAAUCUUGUAAUCCCUGUGGGACCACCUGUGGCGAAGGCGUCUUACCAGAACGGGUUCGACGGUGAGGGACGAAAGCUGGGGGCACGAACCGGAUUAGAUACCCGGGUAGUCCCAGCCGUAAACGAUGCUCGCUAGGUGUCAGGCAUGGCGCGACCGUGUCUGGUGCCGCAGGGAAGCCGUGAAGCGAGCCACCUGGGAAGUACGGCCGCAAGGCUGAAACUUAAAGGAAUUGGCGGGGGAGCA
rnacentral:rRNA from 1 species